AUUCUUAAAGAAAUAUUAGAAUGAUUACAAAUAUAUCUCAAAUAUAUCUCAAUUGAAUCUAAAUUUAAUCCUAAUUAAAAUCCUAUUGGACUUUAUUCAAACUUUAGGCCAAAAGAAAAUUACUUAAUUUUAAAUCCUAAAGAAACUCAAAUAAAAUCCUAAAUCCUAAAUCAAACCUUAAUUAAAUCCUAAAUUCUAAAUUAAAUCCUAAUCAAUCUUAAAUUAAAUCCUAAUCAAUCCUAAAUCAAAUCUUAACCAAAUUCUAAAUUCUAAAUCAAAUCCUAAUCUUAAAUCAAAUCCUAACCAAAUCCUUAUCCUUAAUCAAAUUCUAAUCCUAAAUCAAAUCUUAAUCAAAUUCUAACCCUAAAUCAAACCUUAACCAAAUCCUAACCCUAAAUCAAAUCCUAAACCAAAUCCUAAA
rnacentral:lncRNA from 1 species